rnacentral:rRNA from 1 species
AGUGAACGCUGGCGUUAGGCCUAACACAUGCAAGUCGAACGGCAGCACAGUAAGAGCUUGCUCUUACGGGUGGCGAGUGGCGGACGGGUGAGGAAUACAUCGGAAUCUACUUUUUCGUGGGGGAUAACGUAGGGAAACUUACGCUAAUACCGCAUACGACCUACGGGUGAAAGCAGGGGAUCUUCGGACCUUGCGCGAUUGAAUGAGCCGAUGUCGGAUUAGCUAGUUGGCGGGGUAAAGGCCCACCAGGGCGACGAUCCGUAGCUGGUCUGAGAGGAUGAUCAGCCACACUGGAACUGAGACACGGUCCAGACUCCUACGGGAGGCAGCAGUGGGGAAUAUUGGACAAUGGGCGCAAGCCUGAUCCAGCCAUACCGCGUGGGUGAAGAAGGCCUUCGGGUUGUAAAGCCCUUUUGUUGGGAAAGAAAAGCAGCAGGUUAAUACCCCGCUGUUCUGACGGUACCCAAAGAAUAAGCACCGGCUAACUUCGUG